CAUAUGCUUGUCUCAAAGAUUAAGCCAUGCAUGUCUAAGUGUAAAUAUUUUACAGUAAAACUGCGGAUGGCUCAUUAAAACAGUUAUAAUUUGCUUGGACUAUUUGUCUACGGAUAUCCGUGGAAAUCCUACAGCUAAUACGUAUCACACUCCCCAGUGUGUUGCAUAUUACUCUGAACAUGCGGCGAGGUUUUACUUCGUCAAAUAGGAAUACUUGUAUGCGAGAAUCGUACUUUCGUACGAAAGUCCAUCAAAGUUUCUGACCCAUCAGGUUCCGACGGUAAGGUAUUGGCUUACCGUGCCGAUAACGGGUAACGGGGGAUUAGGGUUCGAUCCCGGAGAGGGAGCUUGAGAGAUGGCUACCACAUCUAAGGAAGGCAGCAGGCGCGCAAAUUACCAAUCCUUAACACAGGGAGGUAGUAAACAGAAAUAAUGACGCUUGAUUCAAAUCAUGCGAUCGGAAUGAUUGGCUUCUAAACCAAGCCGAGAAAUCAAUUGGAGGAAAAGUCUGGUGCCAGCACCCGCGGUAAUACCAGCUCCAAUAGCGUAUAUUAUUGAUGUUGCAGUUGAAACGUUCGUAGUCGAACUUUGUGUGCUUAGGUAUUAUGUCGACUAUGUCGUCAUAGUAUUUUCAGUACAUUUAGUGCAACGAAGGUCAUAUGUUUCAUAUGAAUCCUUCAUUGCAUUUUACUUUGAGUGAAUCGGCGUGUUCCACGCAGGCGUAUGCCUUGAACGAUUUACCAUAGCAUAAGUAAAGUAUGGAAUUGUUCUAUUGUUUGUUCAAGGACAUUUCUGAUACUGCUAAGAACGGUUGAGGGCAUUCGUAUUCAACUGCCAGAGGUGAAAUUCUUUGAUUAGUUGAGGACGCACUACGGCGAAAGCAUCUGCCAAGGACGUUUCUGUUGAUCAAGAACGAAAGUUAGGUGAUCGAAGAUGAUUAGAUACCGUUGUAGUCCUAACUAUAAACUUUGCUAUCCAAGAAUUGGAUUGGUGCUAUGCGCCUUUCCAGUACUUUUUGAGAAAUCAUAAGUCUUUGAGUUCUGGGGGGAGUAUAGUUGCAAGGCCGAAACUUAAAGGAAUUGACGGAAGGGCACCACCAGGAGUGGAACUUGCGGCUUAAUUUGACUCAACACGGAGAACCUUACGAGGAUAAGACAAACGGAGGAUUGACAGAUUGAUCGCUCUUUCUUGAUUGUUUGGGUGGUGGUGCAUGGCCGUUCUUAGUUCGUGGAUUAAUUUGUCUGGUUAAUUCCGUUAACGAACGAGACCUUAACUUGCUAAUUGGAGAUUAUAAUUUAUUAUAACCUCUGUUAGAAGGACCAUGUGUAUCUAACACAAGGAAGCGUGAGGCAAUAACAGGUCUGUGAUGCCCUUAGAUAUCCUCGGCAGCACGCGUGUUACAAUGAUGCAUAUAACAUGUUUUGCUAUUCGAAAGAAUGGUGGAAUCAUUAAUGUGUAUCAACCCAGGGAUUGUUUGUUGAAAUGUCAAGCAUCAACGAGGAAUUCCUAGUAAGCGCGUGUCAUAAGCUCGCGUUGAUUACGUCCCUGCCCU
rnacentral:rRNA from 1 species